GAUGAACGCUAGCGGCAGGCCUAACACAUGCAAGUCGAGGGGUAGCAGGAUUAAGCUUGCUUAAUUGCCGACGACCGGCGCACGGGUGCGUAACGCGUAUGCAACCUACCUUAUACUGGGGUAUAGCCCGGAGAAAUUCGGAUUAAUCCCCCAUAGUACUAAUGAAUCGCAUGGUUUAUUAGUUAAAGCAUUGCGGUAUAAGAUGGGCAUGCGUCCUAUUAGCUAGAUGGUGAGGUAACGGCUCACCACGGCUACGAUAGGUAGGGGGCCUGAGAGGGUGGUCCCCCACACUGGUACUGAGACACGGACCAGACUCCUACGGGAGGCAGCAGUGAGGAAUAUUGGUCAAUGGGCGCAAGCCUGAACCAGCCAUGCCGCGUGCAGGAAGAAUGCCCUAUGGGUUGUAAACUGCUUUUAUUUGGGAAUAAACCUCUUUACGUGUAGAGAGCUGAAGGUACCAAAUGAAUAAGCACCGGCUAACUCCGUGCCAGCAGCCGCCGUAA
rnacentral:rRNA from 1 species